GUGACAAGAAGCUUGAUUUUUGAUUUCCACCGGGAAAAUGGGCAAAUCCUAUAGAUUUACACUCGAUUCUCCGUAGUUAAAUGUUACCCACCGAAUAAAAUUGGUCAGUUUACAACUCCAUCGUUGACAGUGGUAUUGAGAUCACAGAAGCUCUAUGACUGCAGAUGGAGUUCCAGAAACAGUUGCAUGAACAGCUUCAGGUUUGAAUUUAUUCUUUUUGUGAAUUUUCUUCUGAUGUGCUCAUUUGAUUGUUAAAAGAUUAGAAAUGUGAAUCGAAGACUUAUAAGCAAGCUAUAUUUGUUGCAAUUGCCAUGGCUUUUAGAAAACUUUCAUCUAUAACUUAAUGAAAUUAGUGUGAAUAAACUAUUUAUGAUUUACUAGGAUUAUGUACUUCAACUGGUGUUGUGUUUAUGAGCUUAGUGAAGAAAAUCAAGGAAAUUAGAAUGUAACUAGCCUGUAUAGGAAAUUGGAUUAACUAAUGUAGUUAAUUUUGUUUUAAUUCACAAACUUUGUGGUCAAAAGCUGAAUUUUUAACAACAAAAAAAUACUGCAAAAAAUCAUCAAGAUAGUGAGACAUAAUUGAGACAACUGAAUUUUUCAUGGUGGGUUUUGCAGGUUUUCACAUAGUUGUGUUAACAUUGGAUGCUUUGCAUAGUGCAACAGGGUAAUUGUGUGGAAGGAGUUAACCUUGGUUACAUUUUAAGCAUGUUUUGCCGUUGUGUAGAGGUAGCGAGACAACUUAGAUUUUGUUAG
rnacentral:lncRNA from 1 species